rnacentral:rRNA from 1 species
UACAGAGGGUGCAAGCGUUGUUCGGAAUUAUUGGGCGUAAAGCGCGUGUAGGCGGCUUUGCAAGUCGGGUGUGAAAGCCCUCAGCUUAACUGAGGAAGUGCGCCCGAAACUGCAGAGCUUGAGUACCGGAGAGGGUGGCGGAAUUCCCCAAGUAGAGGUGAAAUUCGUAGAUAUGGGGAGGAGCACCGGUGGCGAAGGCGGCCACCUGGACGGAUACUGACGCUGAGACGCGAAAGCGUGGGUAGCAAACAGG